UUUCGAGCAUCGCAUCGCUAAAGAACAUCCGAGAUUUCCGAUAUCAUGGUUUCGCUGAAAAAAAUCGUUACUCUUGUUACGGCAGCUUUAAUGGGUCUCGCGGGCGCGAUACCGACUCCCGGUCCAGUCGCAUCCGGAGCCAUUACCGUUUACCCGAUACCUCAAAGGCCGGCUUACGCACCGAAUCCCUGGGUCUACCCGAAGCCCACUACGGUGCAACCUACGGGACGCUAAUUACGGAUUCAGCUUUCUUCCUCCCUUCGAACCGUCCGAUACAGCUGACUCCGAGAAAUUUUUUUUUUCCCUCGAUUCGUAAAUGUGUCAGUUUACAAUUACGGCUAUCAAUUACGCAAUGACACAGCAAGUGACCUGUGUAACGCGAGCAUUUUUUUCUUCCAGAAAUGUCAGUUAGAAAGCUACAAUUAGUGAUUAAUUGUCGUGAGCAAUUGUUCGCCGUAUUCUCUCGAGACUCUAAAUUGUACUAAUUGUUUAGUUUCUGAUUAAUAUCGUUGAUAUGAAUAAGUAGAUUAUAUUUAUUUUGUUAUAAAUUAGAGAAGUUGUAAGCCUGUUGUAACAUAUGUGCAUUUGUAAAUGCAUUGCUGUAAAUUGUUAUAAUUAUUUAUUCAUUUUCUCGGAUAUAAAUAAGAAGAAAAAAAUUCUAUCAAAAUAUAAUAUAUAAGAUAUUUACAGAGAUUAAUUAAAGGAAGAUAUAUUUUAA